UACGAAGGGGGCUAGCGUUGUUCGGAAUUACUGGGCGUAAAGCGCACGUAGGCGGAUAUUUAAGUCAGGGGUGAAAUCCCAGAGCUCAACUCUGGAACUGCCUUUGAUACUGGGUAUCUUGAGUAUGGAAGAGGUAAGUGGAAUUGCGAGUGUAGAGGUGAAAUUCGUAGAUAUUCGCAGGAACACCAGUGGCGAAGGCGGCUUACUGGUCCAUAACUGACGACUGAGGCUCGGAAAGCGAUGGG
rnacentral:rRNA from 1 species